GACGUUUUCACGGCGGCUCUGACAGCCCGCAGUGAGUUGACAGUUCCUCACUUGUCCGCGCCAUUAAUGACGGCGCCAUACCUAGCUCCACUAUAUAUACCAGGGAAGGCAACAGUGCAAGGGAUCGAUCCGCCCGUCUCCCCCACAUACGCAGGCUCGCUCCUCCCCCUCACUCUCUCUUUCUCAGAGCUCUCUGUCUGCAUUUCACUGUUGCCCAGUCACCUCUCUGACUUGACCGUCGGAGGGUCCCCGACCGGAGCCGCCUCCGGUCAGUGCGGACUUCCUUUUGCAGGUGCACGCUCCCCGGCGAUCGGGCGACAAGGCGAU
rnacentral:lncRNA from 1 species